rnacentral:rRNA from 1 species
CAAUAGCGUAUAUUUAAGUUGUUGCAGUUAAAAAGCUCGUAGUUGGAUUUCGGAUGGGAUUUGCCGGUCCGUCGUUACGAUGUGCACUGGCCAGUCCUAUCUUGUUGUCGGGGACUAGCUCCUUGGAUUCACUUCCUGGGACUAGGAGCUGACGAGGUUACUUUGAGUAAAUUAGAGUGUUCAAAGCAAGCCUACGCUCUGAAUACAUUAGCAUGGAAUAACACGAUAGGACUCUGGCUUAUCUUGUUGGUCUGUGAGACCAGAGUAAUGAUUAAGAGGGACAGUCGGGGACAUUCGUAUUUCAUUGUCAGAGGUGAAAUUCUUGGAUUUAUGAAAGACGAACUUCUGCGAAAGCAUUUGUCAAGGAUGGUUUCAUUAA